rnacentral:rRNA from 1 species
CUCGUAGGUGGUUUGUCGCGUUGUUCGUGAAAACUCACAACUCAAUUGUGGGCGUGCGGGCGAUACGGGCAGACUGGAGUACUGCAGGGGAGACUGGAAUUCCUGGUGUAGCGGUGGAAUGCGCAGAUAUCAGGAGGAACACCGGUGGCGAAGGCGGGUCUCUGGGCAGUAACUGACGCUGAGGAGCGAAAGCGUGGGGAGCGAACA